GAUUUCAAGGAAUUAAGCAAGUAAAGGCGGGGUAGUAAUAUAAUUGCCAUGUCAUGCUGUCGAAACUUUUAUUGAUUUGGUGAGAUAUUGAUUAGUCACUAUAGUGGUGGGUUUCCGUGGACCAGCCUAUUGAGAGGGGCACGGUAAACCCAGUUAUAUUUUACUUCGGUAAGAGAGGCGCGAAGGGUAUCUCCUAAGAAUCAGGACAGUCCGUAAAUAGCUAAUUACAUCGAGGGUUAUUAUUGGACUCGCCUCCUCAGAAAUUGGGAGGUGCGGAAACUAAUAUUAAGCCUUACGAGAUUUCAGUUGGCAUUUAGGGUAAUGAAUGUCUAUCGGGGACAUCGUAGCGGUUGUCACGGGCUCGAGGAGAGUACCGAGUCAUGACAGUGUUGUUCUAAGUGGUGGUUAUGGUGGAGAAAGGAGGUUAAGAUUCAAUGUUUUGGCUUAGGUUUAGAGAGAGAAGAGGCAGAAAGGCUUUUGGAACCCAAGUUUCUUGGGCAUUUUUGAGCCCAAGCUUCGAUAUGAGACUUAACUUUUUAUUAUUAGGUUUUUAUGGGUUUUGUUUGAAGUUUGAUUAUUUAGUGUUCAUUUGCAUUA